CUAAUUGCCAGCAGCUCUUUUUGCUCUGGUGAGGAUAAAGUCAAUAAGAUAAUAUUUUCUCACAAAGAAAUGGAGAAGAACAAAAAAUAAGAUUGUCUGAUGCUAAUACUAUGAAUAAUAAUCAAAGAAAGGAAAGACCUGUGGAAAUGAAGGGUUCAAGAAUACAACCUAUCUUAUGCUACCAUAAUUUAGAAUACAGGAGAUGGCUAACCCAUGGGACUUGGAAAAUCCAGGAUUAACUAGUUAAACUGUCCAGAAAGCUCUGAUCUCAGCUGUUCACUGGCAGAACAGAUUGCCUCCCAAGGACAGAAUCUUGUGCCUUUAACUGGC
rnacentral:lncRNA from 1 species